rnacentral:rRNA from 1 species
UGGGGAAUAUUGGGCAAUGGGCGCAAGCCUGACCCAGCAACGCCGCGUGAGGGAAGCAGGUCUUCGGAUUGUAAACCUCUGUCCUUGGGGACGAAAAAAAUGACGGUAACCAAGGAGGAAGCUCCGGCUAACUACGUGCCAGCAGCCGCGGUAAUACGUAGGGAGCGAGCGUUGUCCGGAAUUACUGGGCGUAAAGGGUUCGUAGGUGGCUUGGCAAGUCAGAUGUGAAAUCCCCGGGCUUAACUCGGGACCUGCAUUUGAAACUGCGGAGCUUGAGGGCAGGAGAGGAAAGCGGAAUUCCGAGUGUAGCGGUGAAAUGCGUAGAUAUUAGGAGGAACACCAGUGGCGAAGGCGGCUUUCUGGACUGUAACUGACACUGAGGCACGAAAGCGUGGGGAGCAAACA